rnacentral:rRNA from 1 species
UGGGGAAUAUUGGACAAUGGGGGGAACCCUGAGCCAGCCAUGCCGCGUGUGUGAAGAAGGCCUUAUGGUUGUAAAGCACUUUAAGCGAGGAGGAGGGUACUGGUAUUAAUACUACCAGCUACUGGACGUUACUCGCAGAAUAAGCACCGGCUAACUCUGUGCCAGCAGCCGCGGUAAUACAGAGGGUGCGAGCGUUAAUCGGAUUUACUGGGCGUAAAGCGUGCGUAGGCGGCUAAUUGAGUCGGAUGUGAAAUCCCCGAGCUUAACUUGGGAAUUGCAUUCGAUACUGGUUAGCUAGAGUGUGGGAGAGGAUGGUAGAAUUCCAGGUGUAGCGGUGAAAUGCGUAGAGAUCUGGAGGAAUACAGAUGGCGAAGGCAGCCAUCUGGCCUAACACUGACGCUGAGGUACGAAAGCAUGGGGAGCAAACAGG